GCUUCUGUGCUGUCUUAUGUGAACAUUCUUUCUUGCAAUAGAGAAUGAAAAAAUAGGGAAGAGGUGGCUAGCUCAAGGAAGUUGUCUUCUCUGGAUCAGAGGAGAGCAUGGGGCCGAUAAUGAUCUGUUUGCAAAGAUGGGGAGCUGGGGACCAAAGGCAACUCACUGGUUAUCAUUGGUUAGCAUGUCCAUCCCAACCUGUGUCUUUGAAAGCUCAGAGCCAAAUUGAAUGUGAAUUGAAACCACUCUCCUGGUUUUCUGGGGAUGGUAAGAAAGCAAUGCAGCCAUCAAUCAACAUAUCAACCAGUCAACCAACAAGUAUAUUUGAAUAAGAAUCCUGGGCUGUAUGUAUUAUCCUGAGGGAUAAUGUGCUGCUUAUGAUUGUAUAUGUGUGUAGACCAGGUCAUGAUACAGAACUUAUUUCUUACUUUGGGUUAUGGUCAAAGAAGUUAGAAAAUAUUUGUCUAGAUGUAGAGACAAGGUAUAUAUUCAUGUAAUGGGAACUUUCCUAGGUCUCAACCUUUUAUAAGUAACUGGUUACAUCAGCAAUGCCAAAUGAAAGUGCACUGGGGCUUAGUCUGUUGACACAGAAUCUUGGAUUCAAAACCCUGGUGAAGCUCAACUGCUCUUCCUGACCUUGGAUUUCCCUAAUAAAGUUCCCUUCUUCAAGCA
rnacentral:lncRNA from 1 species